rnacentral:rRNA from 1 species
UACGGAGGGUGCGAGCGUUGUCCGGAAUUAUUGGGCGUAAAGAGCUCGUAGGCGGCUUGUCACGUCGGGUGUGAAAGCCCGGGGCUCAACCCCGGGUCGGCCGUCGAUACUCUCGUGCUUGAGCACUGUAGAGGCAGGUGGAAUUCCGGGUGUAGCGGUGGAAUGCGUAGAGAUCCGGAAGAACACCGGUGGCGAAGGCGGCCUGCUGGGCAGUAGCUGACGCUGAGGCGCGACAGCGUGGGGAGCAAACAGG